UACGGGGGGGGCAAGCGUUGUUCGGAAUUACUGGGCGUAAAGGGCUCGUAGGCGGCCAACUAAGUCAGACGUGAAAUCCCCAGGCUUAACCUGGGAACUGCGUCUGAUACUGGAUGGCUUGAAUUCGGGAGAGGGAUGCAGAAUUCCGGGUGUAGCGGUGGAAUGCGUAGAGAUCCGGAGGAAGACCGGUGGCGAAGGCGGUCUGCUGGGCAGUUUCUGACACUGAUGCGCGACAGCGUGGGGAGCAAACAGG
rnacentral:rRNA from 1 species